UACGUAGGGGGCGAGCGUUGUCCGGAUUUAUUGGGCGUAAAGAGCGUGUAGGCGGUUCGGUAAGUCUGUCGUGAAAUCCUGAGGCUCAACCUCGGGCGUGCGAUGGAUACUGCCGGGCUAGAGGGUGAUAGAGGCGAGUGGAAUUCCCGGUGUAGCGGUGAAAUGCGCAGAUAUCGGGAGGAACACCAGUAGCGAAGGCGGCUCGCUGGGCCACACCUGACGCUGAGACGCGAAAGCUAGGGGAGCGAACGGG
rnacentral:rRNA from 1 species